AUUGAACGCUGGCGGCAGGCCUAACACAUGCAAGUCGAACGGUAACAGGGAUCAUCUUGCUGAUUCGCUGACGAGUGGCGGACGGGUGAGUAAUGUCUGGGAAACUGCCUGAUGGAGGGGGAUAACUACUGGAAACGGUAGCUAAUACCGCAUAACGUCGCAAGACCAAAGAGGGGGACCUUCGGGCCUCUUGCCAUCGGAUGUGCCCAGAUGGGAUUAGCUAGUAGGUGGGGUAACGGCUCACCUAGGCGACGAUCCCUAGCUGGUCUGAGAGGAUGACCAGCCACACUGGAACUGAGACACGGUCCAGACUCCUACGGGAGGCAGCAGUGGGGAAUAUUGCACAAUGGGCGCAAGCUUGAUGCGGCCAUGCCGCGUGUAUGAAGAAGGCCUUCGGGUUGUAAAGUACUUUCAGCGGGGAGGAAGGGAGUAAAGUUAAUACCUUGGCUCAUUGACGUUACCCGCAGAAGAAGCACCGGCUAACUCCGUG
rnacentral:rRNA from 1 species